ACUACAGUAUUUCUGUAGGAAGAGGAUGCAGAAGUGGAAGGCAUGCUAUAUUAGACACUACGAACAUUUUGUCAUGGAAUCAGUGUUGAUGCCAUAGCAAGGAGUCCAGAAACUAGACUUGAUGCUUUACCUCCCCAGAUAAGGUUUUGUACAGCAGCUUCUGAUAGGAAGUUAAGGCUAUUUACUUCAGACCUGCAGGACAAGAAUGAAUAUAAGACAUUUGAUGGCCACUCAGAUUACAUUAAUGAUCUGGUGUUUUCUCCCAAAGAAGGUCAAGAAGUUGCAAGUGUAAGUGAUGAUCACACUUGCACGUAUGCAUUUUGCUCAAAAUAUCAUUGAAAUAUCAUAGA